rnacentral:rRNA from 1 species
AUUGAACGCUGGCGGCAGGCCUAACACAUGCAAGUCGAGCGAGCGACGGGCGGGUGAGGAAUGUGUGUGGACUGGCCGAUGGGGGGAGAUAACUACUGGAAACGGUAGCUCAUAACGCAUCCUAUUGGACAACCCCUAUGGGAUUAGCUAGUAGGUGAGGUAAUGGCCCACCUAGGCGACGAUCCCUAGCUGGUCUGAGAGGAUGAUCAGCCACACUGGGACUGAGACACGGUCCAGACUCCUACGGAGGCAGCAGUGGGGAAUAUUGCACAAUGGGCGAAAGCCUGAUGCAGCCAUGCCGCGUGUAUGAAGAAGGUCCUAGGGUUGUAAAGUACUUUCAGUUGGGAGGCGUUACCAACAGAAGAAGCACCGGCUAACUCCGUGCCAGCAGCCGCGGUAAUUC